CGGGCGCGGGGCGGGCGCGGGGCGGGCGCGGGGCCCUCCCGCGUGCUGCGGUGCUUCCGUCCGAGCCGUGUCUGCUUCCGCUCCGCGCUGCCGCUCUUCUCCCAGCUGCCGGCAGCUGGCUUGGGCCCCGACCAACCUCUGUCAGCUGCCAGGUAAAGAAGGUAAAGAAGCCUGUCCACACAAAAGACUUAUUAGCCAGUAAAGGGAUGCUGCCUGGAGCAGAGAUGAGGUCAGGAAAGCCAAGACAGAGUACAUUGAACAGAAGAGGAAAGAAAAUGCACACAUCACACUCCCCAUGCUCUCCUGAUAAGGAAGACGGGAAAACUAGAGGCAACUGUCAUGGAGAAGGCUGAGAUACUCAGCAAUUUUUUCAUCUCGGUUUUCCAUGGUAAUCUCUCUUCCUACUUCUUUCAAGCCCCUGCCCCUCAAGACAGGGACUGGGGGAAUACAUAAUAGCCAUUGAAAAUGAAGAUCAAGUCUGGGACCAUGCGAGGAGCCUGAACACACAGCGUCACGAGGGCAGCAGCAGCAGUGUUGUAGGGAAGGGAUGAGCCAGCCCGAGUGCAGGAACAGAGCGGAGCAUGAGCAGGAACGGCGGCAGUGUCCCCGGCCACACUGCCCCCGUGUCGUGGGGUGGCCGUCAGCCCGUGACAGCAGAGCUGGGGAGGAACUUCAGGCCUUCUGGCGGCUGCCGCUCUUUCUUGUUGCAGCAGGGCCCCUUUUUGGGGGUGUGUACACAUGGAAAUGCUUUACUAAAGCAACACGCUGCUGUCCGGGGACUCGUUUUGUGCCUUCUUUGUGGGUGGGGAAAAAAGGCUGGGGGAUGGGGUGGAGGCUCAGGGGCUCAGAUCUCAUUUGGGGCACUCCAACAUCCCUGGGUGGAGGAGCGGGUGAGUGGGGAGUUAAGGGGGCGUCAUGCUGUGUGCCCUUCCCCAGAAGGACCCAAAGCUGCCAGAAGAUUCACAGGAAGGGGUGAAUGUAGAAUACCAAAACCUGUCAAGUUUUUUAUAUAUAUUGACAAAUUUAUUUAUAAACUCAUUUUAAAAUGAGCCCUCUACCUACUAUAUUAUAUACAGGAAUAUAAGAAACCCAGACAGGCGUGUGGCACGUGUAGCUUUUGAAAAUAAUGCCAUAAUGUUUUUAUAUGGGAAUGAAACAAUCAAGUGCCUGAAACCAUAAGAAAAGCUGCUGGCGCUGUAGGGAAGAGGGCUCUGGCAACUUUUGCGUCCAUUCUCUGCCUGUCCUUAAAGCGCGUCGCAGCCCCGGGCUGAGCUCAGCAGCAGUGCUGCCGCCUUGUGGACAAAGAGCGGUACUGCAGCCCCCCGAGCCAGCGCCCUGCUCCUCGCGGCUGGGUGACAGGGGAGAUGACUACUCUCAGCAAAAGCUCUUUAUUAUUCCUCUGUCAGAUUUCCCUCAGCCCUGGUCAGGAAAGGCGAGGGUUUGGAUCAGGAAUUCUGCAAGCAGGGCCUGUGUGACCAUUGGCUUCCCGUGUGUGUGUCAGUGAGCCAAAAUCAAGAGCAAAGUGAUUUUCUGAUGUCAUUCACCUACCCAAAUUCCUUGCUGUUCCUGGGGCAGAGAGAAGCUUCUCCUGUGGCCGACAUUCAGUGGGAGAAUGAUACUGUGUGUCCCACCUUUUUAAUAUAUUCAACUGCUGUUUAUAUCUUAGAAUGUUGACUUAGCUGAUUCUUUUUCAACAGAAAGUGGCAGGCUGAACUCACCUGAAUUACUGAACCAUAAUUUAGACAGUUGAGUUUUUUAAAGAAGAAAAAAGCCAGCUUUUUGUCCGUGGGCUUUACUGGUAUUGUUCCUUAAUUGACCCACACCUUUAAGUAAUGAUGUGGGCACCUUCUAGAAACAGCGUUCAAUUAUUUUGCACUCUCUCGUGUGACCUUGGGGCCACAUAUUUCCAUUGCUGACUUAAAUACAGGUCCAAGCUGACAGUGUCCCGUGCAUCUGUUGUUCAUUGAUCUGUUUCUGAUGUUCAUUUCAUCUGGAUGCAGAGUUGGGCUUUUUGGGCAGAUGAUGCCCCUCUAACCACGAGGCUUGUUUAAACCUUGUACUCUAUUUUAUGAAGACACGGGCUGGGUGAGGACUUUGUCUUGUUGGUGUACUAGGGAAUGGCAUUCAGGAGGUUCCUAUAUUCACACUGAAGUUGAAAUAUUCAAGGGUAUCGGUGUGAUGGUUCUUGGGGAUGAAUCUUGCUCCCAGCAGUCUGCAGCACGGUAGCGCAGGACGUGAAAAAGCAGGGUGUGAGGGACAGGGCAGGUAGGAACAGCGAGGUACUUCUUGCCGGCAGCCGUGUUUGGUGUUGCUGAUGUUUUCAGAGCCAGAGCAGAUUCAUUUGGUUCUGGUGCACUGAAACAGAAUCCGAACCUUGGAAAGUAUUUAUAUGUCCUUAGGCUGAAAAACAUUGCUGUGCAGGACUUGUGCCCUCGCACCUGCGGUUCAUUGCGGAAAAGAUUUAUUUUUGUGAGCAAAUGUUGUCAUUGCCGGUGCAGUGAAAAGCAGAAGAGUUCCCGGUACGAUCAUCUCGGUGGGAGCGUGAGUGCCAGCCAAAACCUCGCUGUGUUCCGGUGCCAUGCUGUGGGAAGAAAGAGCAUGAGGUGCAAAGCCCUGAGCAGAGCGGUGGGAAAUGGGAGGUGAGGAAGGGUUGAGCUAAGGAUGGAUUUAAACUGGGUGUUAGUGCAGGAAGAGAUGUUGGUCAUCCAGAUUGCCAAAACGAAGACCUGUAAAAUCCUACCUGUGCCUCGUGUUUAAUGUGAUUCUCCUUCAUAUUUAUGUUAUCACAAAAAGCAAGGAAACAAUAAAUGUCACUGUUUCUCACUA